rnacentral:lncRNA from 1 species
CAGAGACCGACCCAGGACCUGAGCAUAAAGAGAACAUUUUAAGGCCUGAAUGCUGGCCCAUCAGUGUUUCCUCCACCCCCCGGGGGAGCUAAGGAACCACGUCUGCUCCCUCUGGCAUCUUUUUAAAGGGGAACAGAUUCUCUUUACAGCAUACUGUUUCUUAAAACCAGUUUAAGAACCAGACCAAUUCCUGAUUAGCACAUAGGACCCGGGGAAAGGGGCUUAUCAGAUAUGCAGAAAUUACUCCAAGAUGAUUUUAUCUUUCUCACCUGUUUUCCAAAAGUUACAAGUUAUUUUGCAAAUUAGAAGAGAGUAUUUUCCCUUGGUUAAAUCACAGUGAAAUCAUCAAGGGAAAACAUUUGCAUGUAUAAAGCUUCCUGAAGGUCUCUCAAAAGUACCAAAGCUUGUUUAUUCCUUAUCAUUAACCCAAGCCCUUAUGAAAGGAAACAAAAUGAAGAGUUGUGACUGGUGUUAUCAAAAAAUGCCAGCUGGAAAGAAGGGGGUGCAUGAAAGCAGAAUGACUGCUGCGUCCCGACCCAGAGAGCCUGCUGUUUGGGGGCACCAAGCCCAUGCUCACCCCUCCUUAGUUUGCACAAUUCUGUCUUCCACUUUGGAAUCGUAUAGACAAGUUUGAUUUGUAAUUUCAAUACAUAUUUUAAGUGUAUUGUGUCUUAUGUAGUUUGUCCCCCACCCCUUUCGAAGGGAUUUCUUUUUAAAGAUAUUUUGGCUGGAAUACAGGUUACUUUUGUAAAUCCUGUCUGGCUCCAUCUUUCUUACACUCUUAGUUGACUGCUGGCUUGAAGAUUGAAAAUAUUGUGAGGAUUGGAGGUGGACGGGAGAGGGUCCUUAUGCCACUGGGAACACAGCUUUUAAAAAAAUUGAGUUAUAAUUAACAUGCAGUAGGAUAAUGUUAUGGGUGUACUUCAUUGUGGUUCAGUGUUUUUAUACAUUAUGAAAUGAUCACCAACAGUAAGACCAGCAAUCAUUUGUCACAUGGUAGCUGUGACUGU